rnacentral:hammerhead_ribozyme from 1 species
ACCCAACUGACGAGUCCCAAAUAGGACAAAAUGAGCAUCCUGGAU